UACAGAGGGUGCAAGCGUUGUUCGGAAUUAUUGGGCGUAAAGCGCGUGUAGGCGGCUUUGCAAGUCGGGUGUGAAAGCCCUCAGCUUAACUGAGGAAGUGCGCCCGAAACUGCAGAGCUUGAAUACCGGAGAGGAUGGCGGAAUUCCCCAAGUAGAGGUGAAAUUCGUAGAUAUUGGGAAGAACACCGAUGGCGAAGGCAGCCAUCUGGACCGACACUGACGCUGAGGCGCGAAAGCGUGGGGAGCAAACAGG
rnacentral:rRNA from 1 species